rnacentral:rRNA from 1 species
AUGAACGCUAGCUACAGGCUUAACACAUGCAAGUCGAGGGGCAGCAUGAACUUAGCUUGCUAAGUUUGAUGGCGACCGGCGCACGGGUGAGUAACACGUAUCCAACCUGCCGAUGACUCGGGGAUAGCCUUUCGAAAGAAAGAUUAAUACCCGAUGGCAUAGUUCUUCCGCAUGGUAGAACUAUUAAAGAAUUUCGGUCAUCGAUGGGGAUGCGUUCCAUUAGGUUGUUGGCGGGGUAACGGCCCACCAAGCCUUCGAUGGAUAGGGGUUCUGAGAGGAAGGUCCCCCACAUUGGAACUGAGACACGGUCCAAACUCCUACGGGAGGCAGCAGUGAGGAAUAUUGGUCAAUGGACGAGAGUCUGAACCAGCCAAGUAGCGUGAAGGAUGACUGCCCUAUGGGUUGUAAACUUCUUUUAUACGGGAAUAAAGUGAGGCACGUGUGCCUUUUUGUAUGUACCGUAUGAAUAAGGAUCGGCUAACUCCGUGCCAGCAGCCGCGGUAAUACGGAGGAUCCGAGCGUUAUCCGGAUUUAUUGGGUUUAAAGGGAGCGUAGGCGGACGCUUAAGUCAGUUGUGAAAGUUUGCGGCUCAACCGUAAAAUUGCAGUUGAUACUGGGUGUCUUGAGUACAGUAGAGGCAGGCGGAAUUCGUGGUGUAGCGGUGAAAUGCUUAGAUAUCACGAAGAACUCCGAUUGCGAAGGCAGCUUGCUGGACUGUAACUGACGCUGAUGCUCGAAAGUGUGGGUAUCAAACAGGAUUAGAUACCCUGGUAGUCCACGCCGUAAACGAUGAGUGCUAGGUGUUAGGCCCUUUCCGGGGCUUAGUGCCGCAGCUAACGCAUUAAGCACUCCGCCUGGGGAGUACGACCGCAAGGUUGAAACUCAAAGGAAUUGACGGGGGCCCGCACAAGCGGUGGAGCAUGUGGUUUAAUUCGAAGCAACGCGAAGAACCUUACCAGGUCUUGACAUCGAUCUAAAGGCUCCAGAGAUGGAGAGAUAGCUAUAGAGAAGACAGGUGGUGCAUGGUUGUCGUCAGCUCGUGCCGUGAGGUGUCGGCUUAAGUGCCAUAACGAGCGCAACCCUUAUCGAUAGUUACCAUCAGGUUAUGCUGGGGACUCUGUCGAGACUGCCGUCGUAAGAUGUGAGGAAGGUGGGGAUGACGUCAAAUCAGCACGGCCCUUACGUCCGGGGCUACACACGUGUUACAAUGGGGGGUACAGAAGGCAGCUACACGGCGACGUGAUGCUAAUCCCGAAAGCCUCUCUCAGUUCGGAUUGGAGUCUGCAACCCGACUCCAUGAAGCUGGAUUCGCUAGUAAUCGCGCAUCAGCCACGGCGCGGUGAAUACGUUCCCGGGCCUUGUACACACCGCCCGUCAAGCCAUGAAAGCCGGGGGUACCUGAAGUGCGUAACCGCAAGGAGCGCCCUAGGGUAAAACUGGUGAUUGGGGCU